AUAGACUCGGGCAAAUAAUCAAGGUGGACUUGACAUCAAAAUAAUAGUACCUUGUUAGAGCAAGCUAAGUGUA